GGAAUUACCUACUGUAUCACUCUAUCUAACACAAAGUCAUUUUGAUGUUAAGUGAAAGCAGAAAAUUGACACAAUCAAAAUUGUGACUCCAUUACAAAAACCGGACAUGAGUAAGAGAGACUGCAAAGGCCUUGCAGGACUUUCUAUGAUUUUCAACAAUAGAAAUGCUAGGAAAACCACAGAGGAGGCUUAUGAGUGUGCCACAUACAGAUGAUGCUUCGCCUACUCGUGAGCAGGCUUCAAAAUGAAAAGGAAGCAGAGGGGCUGCUGUGAAGAGGAACGUGGGUCUAUCACACAGACCAAGGUGUGCAAAACUUCUGACAUGCCCCCCCAAAAAGCAGCAGUUGCCCCUCCAGAGCUGCUGUCAUGCUCCUCACAUCACUGCUGGGGUUGGCUUCUCCCCAGAGAAGGCAGCUGUGGGGCAGUAAACCUUUUAUGGCCCAGAAAGCACGCAGAAGGCUGGGAAGCACCUGGCAAGGGCCUGCUCCUCUGCAGCAAGUCAGUGCUAUGAACUGGUAGAUGACUGACCACUGUUCCUGGGUGCAGGACAGUGGGACACCAUUUCCUAAACCUGCAGGAAGUAUUCCUGCUUUCUUGUGGGAAGAUGCAACUGAGCACUGCUGCCUCAGAAGCACUUGAAUGGUCACUUGGACUUGCCAGGUGUGCAACCAGACCACAUACAAGUCAAUUUGAAGAAUCAAAAACCAGAAUGGUAAAUAAGGAGCUUUUUGCCCACAGCAGGGGUGUUGGAACUAGAUGAUCUUAGGGUCUUUUCCAACCGUAACCAUUCUAUGAUUGAAUGUUUUUUUUUUACUCCAGCUAGAUACUGUCCUCUACUGUAUUAACCAAACCUGAAAAACUGCUCUACCGUAGCACUGGAAGUGUACCUGUGCUAUAAUUUGUCCCUGUUACAAAUGACAGUGUCAGUAUGGAAGGCUCUCAUUUAAGUAGUGGCAUAUCACACACAGCCAGUUUAUGUAUGCAUGCAAUAUUACAGCCUCAUUAAACAACAGAUUUCACUGCUCCUGUCAGCAAGUGCUUAAUAUAGUACUGUUACCCUGCAUUCCAAAAGGAAAACAAUUGUAGCCAAAAAAUUGUAAAUGCAAUCGAAUGUCUUAGUUGCAGGAUCACCACGGCUGUGAGAUAGUUGGGUGUCAGAUAUCCUUUCAUGGCUGGAUUUGCUUAGGAAUCUCUGAACAAUCCAAAGAGCAAUCAGAUACCACUUCUGCUCCCCUAGUUUGAAGUGAUUUUGGCAUUACAUGUUGAGCUUUUCUGAGCAGCAGCCCAUUUAACACUAGAAUGUACAGCAGCAUGCAUUUUGAAACAUCAGUUACUGAAUAUAGAUAUGGAGUAUAUAAGAUUACAAAAUACAUCAGCAUAUAUCUAUGUAAGAACAGCAGAGCUUCUUCCAUUUAUAGCAGUAAAUAUGGUAUUAUAUUUCUAGGAUAAGAAAAUGGAAAACCAAGAAUAGAUUACUUGAGAAAGCUUAAAUUACACAUGAUUUUUAUCUUCAUCAGUAGGUUGCAAUUUAUCUGCUCACUUACUCCAUGUGAUUCUGGAGAUGAAAUCUCCAUAGGUAAUUUUUUUGCCACGUAAGAUAUUUUUGUGUAAUUUUUUUUUAAUGCACAAGGGUGAAUUCUGUUCAAAUUUCCUUUACAUGAUUAAAAAACAAAUUAGUGCAGAAGUUAGAAAAAAUUAGAGUGAUGCUGAGAACAGGGAAGCAGAAAGUUCAAGACAUGGUAAGCUGUGGGCUAGUGGAGCUAUGCAAAGGAGCCAAAAGUCUGCUGCCUUGAAGAGCCUUCAACCCAGAAGGAGCUGGGAGCAGCGCUGUGCACAGAGAAGCAGUAGAACAAAAGUAGAGUAGGGCACACCUGCACCACAACCCAUUCCCAGCUGCUAUAUAAAUACAUUGGAGAACAGGAGCCACUCUUGAAUCAGAGCUGAUGUGACACAUAAAUCAAGGGUGAAAAUUUAAAAGCAUCUAUGUACCUUCCUGAUAUGCAAGAUGACUUGAUUACAAUUUCAGGGUAUUUUUAAUGCUAUAGUCUGCAGUGUACAUCUAUCCUAAAAAGCAAGUGUCUCCAGUGUCUAUAGGAACUUGGUCAUCUUCUGUCUUUUUUAGCUCUCUAGUCUAAAUACUGGGUUUUUUCCCCAGUGGGUUUAGGGUUUUUUUCCCCUUUUUAUAUAUACAGGGACAAAAGGUCAUACACAGCAGCCUUCAGGACAAUGCCUGUGUGUAUGUAUAUGCUCUUAUUAGCAACAUGCUGCAGUGCCUCAGAGAUGUUCUUUGACAGUUGUACACCUCUGGAAUGAGCAUUACUUAUACACCUGGUGUAAGAUACAUAAGAUGCAGUCUUGUACCCUGGUUACUUCCACCCUGCACAAAAUACCUACCCUGAGAACCACAUAACUUCUGUGCCACACCAGCAGAGGCAUGAGAAGGAACUUUAUGUCACGGGGCUGAGAGCAUGAGGAAAAGCCUAAGAUCAGCACUGAGAUAAAGUAAGUGCCUCAACCCUUUCGCCCCCUACUCCCCUGCCCCGCACUGGGGCACACAAUGUCUUUCUUGAAUACAGGGGUAUUUUCUGACAUAUCAACAGGUUUAACACCUUGAAUUUCAAAGGCUGUCCUGCUGAACCAAACUAAGGGCUGUUUAGCUCUUUCACAGGAAACCUUUGAAUAGCAGGAGUGCAGUAUUUUUCACAUUCUUCAACUAUUGUAUUUAUAAUCCACAAAAUUACUAUAACUAGCAUCCUCCUAUACAGUAUUCAAUAAAUCAGUAGUUUUACAAACCAAAAUUCAACAGUACAGGCUUUUUAAAAUUCAUUUCAGACACUCAGAUUAGAUACCAGACUUUGUGUCUUGGUGAAGCACAUGAGUCGAGGAUUAAAAUUUUUUAAUAAUACAUGGAAAUUGCAUGAUUCUUGUAUUAUGAAACACAGUAUAAUAUUCUAGCUUCCUGAGGUUCCACACAGGCAAUUUGUUAUUUCUGAUACCAAUUAAUCAAACUUAAAUACAGACUCUAUAAAGCAAUGCAAAUUCAGACAUCCUGCCUCACUUGAGCACACCUGCAAGUUGAUAUCACUCAUAUAUAUGCUUCUUGAGUGUGACAGCUAGAUCAGAAUUACAUAGGGUACUGUAGAAUUCUGCCACCUUUUUCUGACACUCUGUUCAGAAAAAUACAAUUCUUAGAGAAAACAAGCUUUUGAAAUAGGUUUAUUUUUGAAAUAAAAAUUCAUAUUUCAUAUUAAACCAGUAACCUUUUUCUGUACAAGCAGCAUAAGCAAGGUAGGUGACAGAGACUGUAGAACAGGCCCUGGCAAGUACAGAAUGGUAUCAUUUGAGCAAUCUAUUCAGAAAAGAUUAAUAAAAAACCCCCAAAAACAAAACAAUACUACUUGUAACUGUCACACCACCACCAUCAUUAAGAACAAUUAUAAGGAAGGAAACAAGGAAGAAAGCCAGUCUUGUAUUUGUCCUGAGCACAAAAGGAAAAAAUUGUAAGAAAUGUACUUUUUUCUCUCACUCUUUUUAGAUGAAAAUGUAUUUUUUCCUCUUCCUACCAGAAACUGGUAUGUCCCUACCUACCAGACCCGUUAUGUCUGAAGACUACAGGGAUGAACGAAGGGGUGAAAUUUUGGGUACAAAGGCAAUUUUAUGCUAAAAAAUACUAAACAUUGCCUAAAGUUGAAAUAUCAGAAAAUGGCAGGACACUCUUAAGACCAGUCUUAAUGGUGUGACACUGUUGGGUUUAGUCACAGUUAUUUCCGUGCCUCAGGAGAUCCUAAAAUUAAAGACAUUUAAAAUAAUCACAGUUAUUACCUCCACCAUUCUGUUUUGAACAGUAAACAGUAUUAUUUGAUGACAGUCUCCUCUGAAGAAAGCUCUGCAGAAAGCCUCCACAAAGCUUGUAUGUCAACUGUGUAUCUGCCUGGGUGACCGUUUUAUGGUGAGUCAAUAGCCAGGUGCUGCUCCAGAGUUUCUCUGCCUCUGCCAGGACCGUCUUUAGAGUGCAUGGAUAACUGUCCACAGGCUGAUGAAGGACUUCACAAAACCUAUGCAAGAUUUUAUUAUUGUUAUUGAAUUACCUUUAAUAUAUCACUCAAGAAAUGUUCUCACAAGAAACAAAUUAGAAAUGCUGAAUUUUAGGAGAACCCUUUUUCCUGUGUGCACAGAGAUUACCUUUUGCCUCCUUUCCAGGAGUACUAAGUAUAAGCAACAUCUUUAAAAUCAACCCAAAUUUGAUUCAGCACACAGUGUCUUUGUAGCUCAGCUUUACAGAUGACACUAACAUCUGGAUGACCUCAUGAUGCUGUGGAAGUGGGUAGCAAUAUUACUUCAUUCUUGGUACUAUGUGGGCUUCUGCCAAACUCUCUUCUUGCAGCUCUUUACUAGUUCAUAGAGAUGGCAGGAAAAGAUGAGCUGAACGUUAUGAAUGUGGUAGUGAUAAGCUUGUAGAAGGCAAGGGAAGGUGAGAGAGCAAGCAGGAAAGACAAGUACUGGUGACUGGGAGGGAAUGUGAGGGGCCGAACAAAGGAGCAUGCUCAAAAAGCGCAGCACUCAGAGCAGAGUGCUCCUUCCCCAGUCCUACCACAGGGAAGAGGCUCGGCCCUGCUCGAGGGAUGGCUGCAGGCACCCACCAGCCACUGCUCCCCACCCCUGGCUCUCCUCUGGGCCACUCGGCCUGGGGUGGCCUUCAUGGCAGCUGCACCUCAUGAAUAUGCAAUCUGCUGCUACAUAUGUAGCAGACAAGUAAUUCCUCUUCAACCUUGUGGCUAUGCUGCUUUUCACUUUGGGGAAAAGCCUUGCCAAAACAGCUUUAAAACUGAAGAAAAACCUUUUCUUACAUGAAGCUUAAAAAAAAAAA